GGGGGUGUAGCUCAGUUUGGGAGAGCGCCUGCUUUGCAAGCAGGAGGUCGGCGGUUCGAGCCCGCUCACCUCCACAA
rnacentral:tRNA from 1 species